GAUGGGAUGAGCAAUGCAGGGAUACCCACCAUCACCCAAAAUGAUCCUUCAGGGCCUUUAUUCUUCAGUGGCAGCCCUCAAUGCUCCCCACGACCUUUUGGAAGGUGGAAGACCAAGCGAGCUGCUAUAAAACCAGAGGUGACUAAUGGCAGUUCAUUCCUUCUGGGAAGCUGGGUGACCCUGCUCAUCAGCUGGAGGAUGCGGUCUGCCGUCCUGUGGACAACGUCACUUACAGUGGACCGUGGCAUGUCAAAGGCCCUGGCUAUCACACUGUAUGAUGUGCCACAUGCCAGCCAGAAAAGAAA